rnacentral:rRNA from 1 species
ACUGAGACACGGCCCAGACUCCUACGGGAGGCAGCAGCGGGGAAUAUUGCGCAAUGGACGGAAGUCAGACGCAGCGACGCCGCGUGGUGUGAAGAAGGCCUUCGGGUCGUAAAGCCCUUUUCUGUGGGAAGAGGAAGGACGGUACCAUAGGAAUAAGCGUCGGCUAACUACGUGCCAGCAGCCGCGGUAAGACGUAGGACGCGAGCGUUAUCCGGAUUUACUGGGCGUAAAGCGUGUGUAGGCGGCGUGACAAGUUGGGCGUGAAAGCCCCGUGCUCAACGCGGGGAGGCCGCACAAUACUGUCAGGCUAGAGGGCAUCAGAGGGGUGUGGAAUUCCCGGAGUAGCGGUAAAAUGCGCAGAUAUCGGGAGGAACACCGGUGGCGAAAGCGGCACCCUGGGGUGCACCUGACGCUGAGAGACGACAGCUAGGGGAGCGAACAGGAUUAGAGACCCUGGUAGUCCUAGCCGUAAACGAUGGAUGCUAGGUGUGGGAGUGAAGAACUUCUGUGCCGCAGCGAACGCGAUAAGCAUCCCGCCUGGGGAGUACGGCCGCAAGGUUAAAACUCAAACGAAUUGACGGGGACCCGCACAGGCAGCGGAGCGUGUGGUUUAAUUCGAUGCUACACGAAGAACCUUACCUGGGAUUGACAUAUGGGUGGUAGUGAGCCGAAAGGCAAGCGACCCUUCGGGGAGCCUAUACAGGUGCUGCAUGGCUGUCGUCAGCUCGUGCCGUGAGGUGUCGGGUUAAGUCCCGUAACGAGCGCAACCCCUGUCCUUAGUUACAAGUGUCUAAGGGGACUGCCGGCGGGAAGCCGGAGGAAGGUGGGGAUGACGUCAAGUCAGCAUGGCCCUUAUGUCCAGGGCGACACACACGCUACAAUGGUCGGUACAGAGGGCAGCGAAGCCGCGAGGUGGAGCGAAACCCAGAAAGCCGGUCGUAGUUCGGAUUGCAGGCUGCAACUCGCCUGCAUGAAGUUGGAGUUGCUAGUAACCGCAGGUCAGCCAUACUGCGGUGAUACGUUCCCGGGUCUUGUACACACCGCCCGUCACGUCAUGGGAGUCGGUAACGCCUGAAGGCGGUAGUCUGACCGGAAGGAAGACGCUGUCGAGGGUGGGGCUGCAACUGGGACGAA